GGGGGGACGCAGUAGGAUAGGCGAAGCGUGCUGUUGGAGUGCACGUCCAAGCAGUAAGGCUGAGUGUUAGGCAAAUCCGGCACUCAUAAGGCUGAGCUGUGAUGGGGAGAGGAAAUUGUUUCCUCGAGUCGUUGAUUUCACACUGCCGAGAAAAGCCUCUAGAUAGAUAACAGGUGCCCGUACCGCAAACCGACACAGGUAGUCAAGAUGAGAAUUCUAAGGUGAGCGAGCGAACUCUCGUUAAGGAACUCGGCAAAAUGACCCCGUAACUUCGGGAGAAGGGGUGCUCUUUAGGGUUCACGCCCAGAAGAGCCGCAGUGAAUAGGCCCAAGCGACUGUUUAUCAAAAACACAGGUCUCUGCUAAACCGUAAGGUGAUGUAUAGGGGCUGACGCCUGCCCGGUGCUGGAAGGUUAAGAGGAGUGGUUAGCUUCUGCGAAGCUACGAAUCGAAGCCCCAGUAAACGGCGGCCGUAACUAUAACGGUCCUAAGGUAGCGAAAUUCCUUGUCGGGUAAGUUCCGACCCGCACGAAAGGCGUAACGAUUUGGGCACUGUCUCAACGAGAGACUCGGUGAAAUCAUAGUACCUGUGAAGAUGCAGGUUACCCGCGACAGGACGGAAAGACCCCGUGGAGCUUUACUGUAGCCUGAUAUUGAAAUUCGGCACAGCUUGUACAGGAUAGGUAGGAGCCUUUGAAACGUGAGCGCUAGCUUACGUGGAGGCGUUGGUGGGAUACUACCCUAGCUGUGUUGGCUUUCUAACCCGCACCACUUAUCGUGGUGGGAGACAGUGUCAGGCGGGCAGUUUGACUGGGGCGGUCGCCUCCUAAAAGGUAACGGAGGCGCUCAAAGGUUCCCUCAGAAUGGUUGGAAAUCAUUCAUAGAGUGUAAAGGCAUAAGGGAGCUUGACUGCGAGACCUACAAGUCGAGCAGGGUCGAAAGACGGACUUAGUGAUCCGGUGGUUCCGCAUGGAAGGGCCAUCGCUCAACGGAUAAAAGCUACCCCGGGGAUAACAGGCUUAUCUCCCCCAAGAGUUCACAUCGACGGGGAGGUUUGGCACCUCGAUGUCGGCUCAUCGCAUCCUGGGGCUGUAGUCGGUCCCAAGGGUUGGGCUGUUCGCCCAUUAAAGCGGUACGCGAGCUGGGUUCAGAACGUCGUGAGACAGUUCGGUCCCUAUCCGUCGUGGGCGUAGGAAAUUUGAGAGGAGCUGUCCUUAGUACGAGAGGACCGGGAUGGACAUACCUCUGGUGUACCAGUUGUCGUGCCAACGGCAUAGCUGGGUAGCUAUGUAUGGACGGGAUAAGUGCUGAAAGCAUCUAAGCAUGAAGCCCCCC
rnacentral:rRNA from 1 species